rnacentral:pre_miRNA from 1 species
GCUACGUUCGGGCCUUCGAUCUACCGAGCAAUAUCACCCGCUCAGUGGAAGAUCUUCGCCUCCGCUU